rnacentral:misc_RNA from 1 species
UCCGAGUUGACCCCGGCAGUCUCCUGCGAGUCCCCGCCAUUACGCGCUGGCAACAUAGGACGAGGGUUGCGCUCGUUGCGGGACUUAACCCAACAUCUCACGACACGAGCUGACGACAGCCAUGCACCACCUGUAUACCGGCAAAAGGGGCGCCAUCUCUGACGCUUUCCGGCAUAUGUCAAGCCCAGGUAAGGUUCUUCGCGUUGCAUCGAAUUAAUCCGCAUGCUCCGCCGCUUGUGCGGGUCCCCGUCAAUUCCUUUGAGUUUUAGCCUUGCGGCCGUACUCCCCAGGCGGGGCACUUAAUGCGUUAGCUUUGACACCGAGCCCAUGGAAAAGGCCCAACGUCUAGUGCCCAUCGUUUACAGUGUGGACUAC